rnacentral:lncRNA from 1 species
GGUGGUCGCCCUCCGUCGUGGUCUGGCGUGUAUUCCGAGCGUUGGUGUCUGGCGGUUUCCGAGCGUUGGUGUCUGGCGGUUUCUGACCGUUGGUGUCUGGCGGUUUCCGACCGUUGGUGUCUGGCACGCGCCACCCUCUCUUGCUUUGGUUGCGCCAUGCCGAUGUACCAGACAAGAAGACAAGAAAAUGAUUUGAGGACAGCUUCAAUCGCGGUGUGAAGAAGAAAGCAGCAAAACGACCACUGAAAACAACGCCGGUGGCAAAAUAUCCAAAGAAAGGGUCCCAAGCGGUACAUCGUCAUAGCCGGAAACAGUCAGAGCCACCAGCCAAUGAUAUUUUCAAUGCUGCGAAAGCUGCCAAAAGUGACAUGCAGCACCGAGAAGUCCGCGUGAAGUGCGUGAAGGCUCUGAAAGGGCUGUACGGUAACCGGGACCUGACCGCACGCCUUCACUGGCCGCUUCAAGGACUGGAUGGUUUCCAUGAUCGUGGACAGAGAGUACAGUGUGGCAGUGGAGGCCGUCAGAUUACUGAUACUUAUCCUUAAGAACAUGGAAGGGGUGCUGAUGGACGUGGACUGUGAGAGCG